AACGUAGGAGCCAAGCGUUAUCCGAAUUCACUGGGCGUAAAGCGCGUGCAGGCGGCUGGGUAAGUUGGAUGUGAAAUCUCCUGGCUCAACUGGGAGAGGCCGUUCAAUACUACCUGGCUUGAGGGCGACAGAGGGAGGUGGAAUUCCGGGUGUAGUGGUGAAAUGCGUAGAUAUCCGGAGGAACACCAGAGGCGAAGGCGGCAUCCUGGACCGAUAUUGACGCUGAGGAGCGAAAGCCAGGGGAGCAAACGGG
rnacentral:rRNA from 1 species